GAUGAACGCUGGCGGCGUGCCUAAUACAUGCAAGUCGAGCGAACAGAUGAGGAGCUUGCUCCUCUGACGUUAGCGGCGGACGGGUGAGUAACACGUGGAUAACCUACCUAUAAGACUGGGAUAACUUCGGGAAACCGGAGCUAAUACCGGAUAAUAUAUUGAACCGCAUGGUUCAAUAGUGAAAGACGGUUUUGCUGUCACUUAUAGAUUGAUCCGCGCCGCAUUAGCUAGUUGGUAAGGUAACGGCUUACCAAGGCAACGAUGCGUAGCCGACCUGAGAGGGUGGUCGGCCACACUGGAACUGAGACACGGUCCAGACUCCUACGGGAGGCAGCAGUAGGGAAUCUUCCGCAAUGGGCGAAAGCCUGACGGAGCAACGCCGCGUGAGUGAUGAAGGUCUUCGGAUCGUAAAACUCUGUUAUUAGGGAAGAACAAAUGUGUAAGUAACUAUGCACGUCUUGACGGUACCUAAUCAGAAAGCCACGGCUAACUACGUG
rnacentral:rRNA from 1 species